rnacentral:rRNA from 1 species
AACGGCUGGCGGCGUGGAUAGACAUGCAGUCGAACGGGAUUAUUUUGGAGUAGCAAUACAGAAAUAAUUCAGUGGCGAACGGGUGCGUAACACGUGGGCAAUCUGCCGAAAAGUGGGGGAUAGCUCGCCGAAAGGCGAAUUAAUACCGCAUGUGGUGAGGGACGACAUCUUCCUGAAUCCAAAGCCGGGGCAACCUGGCGCUUUUUGAGGAGCCCGCGGCUAUCAGCUAGUUGGUGAGGUAACGGCCCACCAAGGCUAUGACGGUAGCUGGUCUGAGAGGACGACCAGUCACACUGGAACUGAGACACGGUCCAGACACCUACGGGUGGCAGCAGUCGAGAAUUUUUCUCAAUGGGGGAAACCCUGAAGGAGCGACGCCGCGUGGAGGAUGAAGGCUUUCGGGUUGUAAACUCCUGUCAUUUGAGAACAAGUGCCAACAAGUAACUACUGUUGGCUUGAUAGUACCAGAAGAGGAAGGGACGGCUAACUCUGUGCCAGCAGCCGCGGUAAUACAGAGGUCCCAAGCGUUGUUCGGAUUCAUUGGGCGUAAAGGGUGCGUAGGUGGCGCCGUAAGUCGGGUGUGAAAUUUCGGAGCUUAACUCCGAAACUGCAUUCGAUACUGCGGUGCUUGAGGACUGGAGAGGAGACUGGAAUUCAUGGUGUAGCAGUGAAAUGCGUAGAGAUCAUGA